CCUACGGGGUGCAGCAGUGAGGAAUAUUGGUCAAUGGACGAGAGUCUGAACCAGCCACGUAGCGUGAAGGAUGACUGCCCUAUGGGUUGUAAACUUCUUUUAUAUGGGAAUAAAAUGUUCCACGUGUGGGAUUUUGUAUGUACCAUAUGAAUAAGGAUCGGCUAACGCCGUGCCAGCAGCCGCGGUAAUACGGAGGAUCCGAGCGUUAUCCGGAUUUAUUGGGUUUAAAGGGAGCGUAGGGGGAUUGUUAAGUCAGUUGUGAAAGUUUGCGGCUCAACCGUAAAAUUGCAGUUGAAACUGGCAGUCGUGAGUACAGUAGAGGUGAGCGGAAGUCGUGGUGUAGCGGUGAAAUGCUUAGAUAUCACGAAGAACUCCGAUUGCGAAGGCAGCUCACUGGACUGCAACUGACACUGAGGCUCGAAAGUGUGGGUAUCAAACAGGAUUAGAUACCCUUGUAGUC
rnacentral:rRNA from 1 species